UGCCUAGAGUAGACCUAGAGUGUUGUUGCUGAGGGUGGGAAUGGGCACGAGGAAGCAGCCAGCGGUCCCUACCACCUCGAGGACCUGGUUUAUCUCCACAGGGCUAGGUGUCUCUCGUGUGAGAAAGAUGAUACGAACCACUUGGGACGGCAGACAGAUCUCAUUUUGGGGCCAGCCCCAGUAGGUUGGUAGCGACUGCGUGCCGUGCACUCUGUUGGACCCUGAGUCCCUAGUUGUCAUCCUCAGCAGUUACCCAAGGAAGAUAUUACUGUGCAUCUACUAUGCACUGUACACUGGAGAAACCAAAGCGAGGCACAGUCUCUACCCUCUGUUUCUACCAAUUCAUCACAAACUAUAAUAGAAAACCACAAAUCCUGUAAUGAAAGAUUGUGCAAAGUACUAGGAAGCUUAGAGAAGGAAGAACUGAAGGCAGGGGAAUUGAAAAAAGAAGACAUCUGAGUUGAGUCUCGAAGAAUGAAAACAUACUCUUGAAGAGAAUGGGAGGAGUGAAGAGCUGCGAGCACAUGGCUUUACGGGAGAAGCGCUGCCUGUGCUUAUGUCAUCUCAUUUGAUACUUAAUAGGCACAUGAAAUAGAAUCAUUUGUUCCAGUUUCACAGAUGAAGGAGCCAAGUUUCAGAAAGAUCACAUCGUUGAGUAUCAUCUUGUUUUGCAUCUAGUUCUGGAGGGUGACUUGGCUUGAAUUGUUACUGUCAAAAAUAAACAAAGACAAAACUGACUCAAGUACUGUAUUCCUCUGUCAUGCAUUUAACUGUAUUAAACCAUUAAAUGGAUGGCACUGCAUGUUGAGAUGUGCGUUUUUGUCAUGGAAUAAAAUCUAGGUUUGUUAAUGAGAACAAAUAUAAAAGUUAUAUUUUCUGGAUUUGGAAGCUGAUUGCUAGAAGAGUAAUAGGAAUAAAGUACUCUUUAGCCUUUUGGCUCUCAAUGUUUUUUACUUUGUUAAGUAGUUUAAUUAGCUAUUCUAGACUAAUUCAGCAUUUUGUUUCCAAUUGUGUAUAAAUUGUGUGUGUGUAUGUGUGUGUACAUAAGAAUAGAUACAGUUCUGUAAAAUAUUUAAAUGGUAAUAGGCAUUUAACACAUUUUGAAAUAUUUAUAUAAUUUGAAGACACUGAAAAAAACCACUUUGGCUCAAGUAUUCCAUGACAGGUUUGAGGAUUUUCAACAUAUUUCUUUAUGUGAAUUUAAUUCCCAGUUAUAAUUAAAAAAAAAAAAAAUGAGAAGUUAAAUCUUUGCUCCUUGACAGCAUUUUAAUAUAUCUCUUCUGGUAAUUUGCUAGAAUUUAAUUAGAUCAGAAGAAAUAAAAAGCUCAAAACCAUUAUGUAGUGAAUGUGUUCUAGAUAAUUUGCUUUAAACUGAGAGUAAAAUAGUUUGAUGAAUUAUGUUUUUCCUUUUGUUAAGUAGAAUUUUUGUUCUCUAAUUGUUAAGUAAAACUGUGAUAUUAUAGGGUUAACUUCAUUAUGUUCACAAUUAAACUCUUAUUUGCAUUGUUACCUAUUCUAAGAUAUUUAAUAUUUAUAUAUAAUUCAUGUAUUUAACCUCAGGCAGUAUUAGUUAAAUCUUUUUUUUUUCCUUACAGAAUCUUGUAGUAUAUGUUACAUAUGAUAAACUAUCUCUUCUAGACUAUUUUUAUUAUAUAUCAAAGCAGCAGUGCCUAAUUUGUAAGUAGAAAAUUAAAAAAAAUUUUUUAUUAAACAUCUAGGGCAUAAAAGUCUGGCCAUUUUUCUAAAAGUAAAGAAGUAUAUGUUUUAUUUUCUGUAAGGACUAUUGAUUUAGGUUGGAAACAGUGUAUUCUAACAGGAAAUUUGAAUUUUAACUCGGUCAGUGUGUAUUUCAGAAUAAGUAGUUGCUGCUUCCAAUGUGAAGUGUUAUUUAUUGUAAAAUCAUUGCUCUAGUUGUAUAGUUCUUUGUGUACAUGUUUUCAACUAAUGUCUAGACCUAUACCAAAUGUAAAAUAAAUA